GGAUGUGAGGGCGAUCUGGCUGCGACGUCUGUCACCCCACUGAUCGCCAGGGUUGGCGUGGCUGAUGCGGCUGGCUAGGCGGGUGUCCCCUUCCUCCCUCACCGCUCCACGUGCGUCCCUCCCGAAGCUGCGCGCUCAGUCGAAGACGACGACCUUCCCCGAUAGAGGAGAGGACCGCUCCUCGGUCAAGGGUGUACGAGUAGCUGCGCUCCCCUGCUAGAACCUCCAAACAAGCUCUCAAAAACCUGCUGCCCAGAGCCCAUAGGCAGCUUUAUGGGCCCAGCUUCUUUGACUCAGAGUGCAGGGCAGGCUCUGGCCCCACGCCUCCUGCGGGGGCCUCUUCUGG
rnacentral:snRNA from 1 species